UCCGAGUUGACCCCGGCAGUCUCCUGCGAGUCCCCGACAUUACUCGCUGGCAACUAACAACAGGGGUUGCGCUCGUUAUAGGACUUAACCUGACACCUCACGGCACGAGCUGACGACAACCAUGCAGCACCUUGUAAUGAGCCCGAAGGAGGACCUGUUUCCAAGCCUGUCCCACUACAUUUAAGCCCUGGUAAGGUUCCUCGCGUAUCAUCGAAUUAAACCACAUGCUCCACCGCUUGUGCGGGCCCCCGUCAAUUCCUUUGAGUUUCAAACUUGCGUUCGUACUCCCCAGGUGGGAUACUUAUCACUUUCGCUUAGCCACUCAGAUUUGCAUCCGAACAGCUAGUAUCCAUCGUUUACGGCGUGGACUAC
rnacentral:misc_RNA from 1 species